UUCUUAUCCCAUUUGAGACCAAAUAUCAACAAGUCUUUCUUCUCACUUCUAAACAUUCUUCAUGUAUCUCUAGCACUUGUAAUCAAUCAAAUUCAUUGUAUUAUAACAUAUUCUAACCCAAAAUAACUUAAUCCAAGCCAUUCACUGCCUCAAAGCAAUUGUUUUGGGUUCUUAUCCCAUUUGGGACCAAAUAUCAACAAGUCUUUCUUCUUACUUUUAAACAUUCUUCAUGCAUCUCUAGCACUUGUAAUCAAUCAAAUUCAUUGUAUUAUAACAUAUUCUAACCAAAAAUAAAUUUAUACAAGCCAUUCACUUCCUCAAAGUAAUGGUUUUGGGUUCUUAUCCCAUUUGUGACCAAAUAUGAACAAGUCUUUCUUCUCACUUCUUAACAUUUUUCAUGUAUCUCUAGCACUUGUAAUCAAUAGCACCUGUAAUCAAUCAAAUUCAUUGUAUUAUUACAUAUUCUAACCCAAAAUAACUUAAUCCAAGCCAUUCACUGCCUCAAAGCAAUGGUUUUGGGUUCUUAUCCCAUUUGUGACCAAAUAUCAACAAGUCUUUCUUCUCACUUUUAAACAUUUUUCAUGCAUCUCUAGCACUUGUAAUCAAUCAAAUUCAUUGUAUUAUAACAUAUUCUAACCAAAAAUAACUUUAUCCAAGCCAUUCACUGCCUCAAAGCAAUGGUUUUGGGUUCUUAUCCCAUUUGUGACCAAAUAUCAACAAGUCUUUCUUGUCACUUUUAAACAUUCUUCAUGCAUCUCUAGCACUUGUAAUCAAUCAAAUUCAUUGUAUUAUAACAUAUUCUAACCCAAAAUAACUUAAUCCAAGCCAUUCACUGCCUCAAAGCAAUGGUUUUGGGUUCUUAUCCCAUUUGGGACCAAAUAUCAACAAGUCUUUCUUCUCACUUUUAAACAUUCUUCAUGCAUCUCUAGCACUUGUAAUCAAUCAAAUUCAUUGUAUUAUAACAUAUUCUAACCCAAAAUAACUUUAUACACACCAUUCACUGCCUCAAAGCAAUGGUUUUGGGUUCUUAUCCCAUUUAUGACCAAAUAUCAACAAGUCUUUCUUCUCACUUUUAAACAUUCUUCAUGCAUCUCUAGCACUUGUAAUCAAUCAAAUUCAUUGUAUUAUAACAUAUUCUAACCCAAAAUAACUUUNNN
rnacentral:lncRNA from 1 species